GGGCAGGAAAGCGUAGCGGCAGUAGAGCGAUCGUCUCCGAAUCGGUAGGCUCUGGGUUCGAUCCCCAAUGCGGCCCG